GCCUGUACUGCCACGUAGGGACUGCUUCUUUUCUCUAAAACAAUGACCAAAUAGACUCAGAACAGCCGAGGUGUUUCCUCUAAGCUGAUGUACGUCCUCCUCUUCCUCUUCCUCCUCCUCCUCCUCCUCCUGCUCCUCCUGGUGAGGUAUUCAGUAGUAGUGUUGUAGGAGUAGAGUAAAGAUGCAAUAUAAAGCAUCAGGACUUUAUCCCAGCUUGGAUACUUUAAGGCUGGUUUUCUUUUGUACCCAGGAGUUGUUUGUAUUUGUAAUGACUGAUGUUUAGAUUUGUCAGAUAUGGUAGGUUUGUGCUACAUAAAUAUUCCUACUAGUUUUUAGAGCAUGUACGAUGUGGUUUGUGAGAUUUUUAUUCCGCUGCAGGACAAAGUCUUCCUCAGAGACUUCCUCCUGUCGGAGCUGUCGUCCAUCAACACGUCAGCGUCUCCUGUCUCACUGAAGGAAAACUAAAUUAAACCGAUCUGAUCUGUUUCAGGAACAUCUUUAAUUUAUUGAUCAGUAAUAUAAACUAUCAGUUGUCUUUUGAAUGUAGAAAUCAUUCAUGUUGUUUAUGUAUGAUAGAUAUUUAUUGAUCUCAGAGACACAGAGGAGCCUCUGUGAUGUGACCGGGAACAGGGUUUAAACGUGUUUGAAUCUUAUGUAAGGCAAUAAACACAUGUGUAAAUAAGCUGCUUUAAUGAACAAAGACACAUUUAUAACAGAGUUUAAAAAGAUAUCUGUCAGUAUGUGACACAGCUCGUCAGUCUUUAUCAGUGACAACACAAUCAGAACAGGACUGUUAUUAACAUUCAGCUCCGAAUAUCAUCAAGGCCACGUUUAUCACAGAAGAAUCAGAUAAGAUUAACUGUUGAAAUCACUAUCAGACAGAUACUGGUGAUGAUGAACUUUUCUUUGCCAUCAACACUGUCAAGUCAGUAACUUACAGUGUCUGAUUUUUGUCCUAAUAAUCUCUUUGAACAUCUAGUAGAAUUAUCUGGUUGUAUCUGGUUCUAAUUAUAGGGAAACAAGACAUUUUUAUCAGGAACCUGUUCAUUUAUUUGAAGGAAUUUCUGUGAAGACCCAUUUCUCUCAGAAAAUAGUUCAAAUAAUAAAUAUAAACUCAAGCGGUGGUUCAGGGUUGAAUCCCUUUUUUGACUCAACAGAAGGAACCAACUCAAUCAGCCAAAAUUAAAGCAGUGAGGAAAAACAAGCAGGUAAAGUCGCUUAAGGUAGUUUAAUUUUGCUUAAAUAGGGAGUGAGACCAAUCACAAUCUUGUUCCAUCAUCCCAAAGCCUGCAAGGUUUCAAUGGUUCGUUCCGGCUCACAGCAAAUUGGGAAAAGGCAUAAGAUGGCAUCAUGAUGAUGAAUAGGCCCCGUCCACAUGCACCAAUCAUUAUGUCACUUUAGAUUUUAGUUAAUACUUGCCCCCUGUCCUCCGGAUUUUGAGGUACCUAUUAUGGGUAUUUGUGACGCCCCCUAUGGUUCAAGCUCAAAAUGCUUUGGUCAGCCUGUUUCCAAACACAGAAAGUAUCUACAAAUAUUUUUGAUGAUUGGACAAAUAAUUAUCAGUUAUGGCCAAUGACCUGUUUAUUGAAGAAAUAGAUAGAUAGAUAGAUAGAUACUUUAUUUAUCCCCUAGGGGACAUUCAUGUGUAUUUGUCAAUAUCUUAAACUUUAGACAACUUUAGAUACGCUUGGUCCAGUGAUGAUCUAAAGAAACUGGAUCUACAGUUAAAAAGGAGAUGUCAAAAAUGUGUUUUUCAAAAAAUUCUAAAUGGUGGAAAAUCCAUCAUGGCGGCCUUUAUGGUCCAAGAGGCUUUUUUAAAGUAUAUAUUAGUAUAUAUAUAUACAGUAUAUAUAUAUAUAUAUAUAUAUAUAUUUAUACAAACUGCAUUUUUGCAACCAUGUUGCCAAUUGGGUUCAUGUUUCAUGGGAAGCAGGUCCAGUUAUUGGGCCAAGUUUCGUGUUUCUAGCUCAUUCCAGCUCAAAGGAAUUUGAGCCGAUUCGACAGAAAAAUAAUAACAGACACAAUUAACCUAUCUAGAAUAUUGUGAAAAUUUUACUUGUGAAAUUCAAAAUUAUAAUAUAUUAACUUAUGAAAUUACUAAAUUAUGAGUUUGUAAAUUACAAGUCACAGCUAAUAAUAAUGGUCAUAAUAAUGAUAGUAAAAACAAUGUUUGAAAAGACCAUUUUUACUUGUCAAAAAUAUGGAAUCUAUGAAGUAAAGGUCACGAGAAGGAAAGUCACAAUUACUCAUAAUUUUUAAUUUACCAAGACGAACCUUUACAAAAGAUUUACUGAGUGAAAUUUAUGAAAUUUACAAGAUAAAUAAUGUUUAUCUCAUAAAUGUUACUUUAUUUUAGUUCAACUUUUUCAUUUUUUUAGUAUCUCACAAUUAUGACUUUAAUAUGAGCUAGAAAUGUAAUUUGUUUGUUCUUUUCCUGGCAGAAAUGGGCUCCCAUACAUUGUUGAAAAAACUAAUAUCGAAUGAAUGAAUGGGAAACAGGCUCCUUUAAACUCAAGUUUCUACCUGCAGCCGACUGAACACUGUCUCUGUUUUACUUAUAAUUUGUAUCAAACUACACAGUUUACAAAAAUCCUCAGUUACAUAUCAGUUUGUUUCUGGGAAAUUGUCAGGAGGAGAUGGGAACCAUUUUUUUUAAUCUCAUCCAAAAACAGUGAUGACUGUUUGUACAUCACUCAGAAUUUAAACGUCUGGAUAAAACCAGUAUCUGUCACUCACUGCUGACCUCUGGUGACUCAGAUGUGUCGUACACUACACUGACUGUUGAAGACAAAAUAUCAAUCAUCCUUUUUCAAGUAUUAUCACUAUCAGUAUAAACCAGGGUAUUUUUCGGUUUAUCAUAUAUAUAUGAAAUUAUCAUGUGUACCGUGCACUUUAUAUUAAACAGCUGAUGUUACAGAUGAUUUGGUUCAAUACAUUCUGCGCUGCUAUUCACUGCAUGAACCUAAACCCUACUGUGGGGUACCAUGUCUCUGAAACUAACCAAACCACAGACGCUCACAUUUUCAAACAAUGCGUCUUGUAGAGGAGAUUUCUAAAUUAUUUGUGAUAUUCACAUGGGUGAUAUAUUGCUGCUGUACAUAUGUAUAUGAAUAGGUGUAAAUGUAUUUAUAUAUUUUUUGUCUUAAUCUGUUGAAUAUAUUUUCAUAGAUCCUAGGUCUCCCUUGUGCUCCCUUUGUUUUGAUGUGUUUCAGACCUCUGUCUGUCUUUGUUUACUUGCAUGGAGAUAUUUCAGUAUAAUAAAUUAUUUAUGGUAAAUCUCUAUGUACUUUGGAAUGAGAGUCCAAUGGGUUUUUAGAUGGCACUGGAUUUAGCUUGAACUGGAUUUCCUAGAGGACUGCAUGCUGGUGCUAGUGUAGGAUGUAGGAGACAGAGAGUGAGUGUUUGCAAACGAUGCGUUUCUCUACGUAACAAACUUUACUUCUUCAUAUACAAGAACCUUUUCAGCAGAAUGUUUACUUUGUGUUUAUGUUUGAAAUGUCAUUUUAGAGAUAAUUUUGCUACCUGAGCAUUAAUAAAGUUGUCCUUGUUUAAGGUAACAGAA